UACAGAGGUCUCAAGCGUUGUUCGGAUUCAUUGGGCGUAAAGAGUGCGUAGGCGGCGCGGUAAGUCGGGUGUGAAAUCUCGGAGCUUAACUCCGAAACUGCAUUCGAUACUGGCGUGCUUGAGGACUGGAGAGGAGACUGGAAUUUACGGUGUAGCGGUGAAAUGCGUAGAUAUCGUAAGGAAGACCAGUGGCGAAGGCGGGUCUCUGGACAGUGCCUGACGCUGAGGCACGAAGGCCAGGGGAGCAAACGGG
rnacentral:rRNA from 1 species